GGUGGAACAAACGAUUCAGAGUAUGUUUAAUCAAUAUAAUGAUUCAGCAUCAAGUAUUGAUCCUUUAAUCACUCAAUCACAUGCUCAAGCUCAACCUAUUGAUGAUGGUGAUUCUUCCUCAUUUAUCAUUUCAAGUCGACCUAAAGGCAAGAAGUCUCGUAAUGUCCAUGAUGAGUUCGUGGCAUGAAGAAUGGAGAAAAAUGGCGGCAAGAUGAAAAAUGAACUUGAUAAGUAUUUUGAAGAGGAAGCUGAGCAACCAACUGAACAAUUUGAUGUUUUAGGAUGGUGGGCUAGUAGUGGGUGCAAAUACAAGAUAUUGUCCCUCAUGGCACGUGAUGUGCUAGCUAUUCCGAUUACCACUAUUGCUUAUGAGGCGGCAUUCUCAGCUGGGGGUCAGAUUUUAGAUCCUUUUAGGAGUACACUUAGCCCAAUUAUGGUCGAAGCAUUAAUUUGUCUCAAGAAUUGGUGGAGCGGAUCACAUCAACCCAUUGUUGUGCGAGAGUACAUGGAUGAAGAAGAAAUACUUCAAACACAAGCAUUGCUUGAAGAAGGUAAUUUUAGUUUGUUAUAUUUUAUUUUGAUUUCCAUACUUUAAGUUUAAUAUCAUAAUAUUUAUUUUACAUAUGCACAUUUAUUAUCUAACUAAUUUAUAUUUUUGAUAUUUUAUAGAGAUUCUCAAUAAUAAUAUUAUAGGCACUUUUUCUACUCCUUCAACCUCAACAAGUCAACAACAAGGCACGACUUUGGAUUGAAAAGGUUUGGAGCUUUGGACUUGGAGGACUUUGGAAUUUGUUGAAUUAGACAAUGGAUACACAAAGAGAAGAACACAAUAUACACAAGGGAAGUAAAUACUUUUGAAUAGUUAUGAAGAUGAAUUAUUGAUACUUUUGGUUAUGAAGUUUGAAUAGUUAUAUUUUAGAUUUUGAGACUUUUUCAUAUAAUGAUCCAUAUGGAUAUAUGGAUAUGGAUUAGAUUUGGACUUUAGAACUUUUUGAUAUAAUCCAUAUGGAUAUGGAUUAGAUUUAGAAUUUGGGACUUUUUAAUAUGAUCAAUAUUGAUAGAUUGAUACUUUUUGAUAAGGAUAUGGAUUAGAUUUGGACUUUGAGAUUUUUUUGAAAUGAUCUAUAUUGUAUGGAUUGGAUAUGGAUAUGGAUAUGGAUUAGAAUUUAGAUUUGGAUGAUUAAUACUAUUCUGAUCAAUACUAUUAUAUUGUAGCUAUAUUGUAGACUUUGAGACUUUUUUUAUAUGGUCUAUAAUAUUGUAGAUUAGAUUGGAUAAUGGACAUGGAUUAGACUAUUUUUUUUCUUUUGUGGGUUUUUGAGUGAGUUUUGGUUCUAAUUUUCCUUUUCUUUUUCAUGUAUACGUUUUCAUUAAUAAUUAUACUGAUUUUUUUUUUUGAAGUAAAAUAGCUAUAGCCUAUAGUGUUGUUAGUAAUUGUAAUUAUGAAAUAAUUAAUGGGUUUGAAUGAGUUUUGGUUUUAGUUUUUUUUUUUCAUUUAUAUAUUUUAAUUAAUAGCUAUAGCCUAUAGUGUUGUUAGUUUUGAAUAUUUAAAUUGGUAAGUAAUUGUGAAUAAUGAAUGAUUAUUAAUUUGGAUAAAUAGUUUAGUUUAAGUUUUGAAUUGAAUGUCAUUUUUGUAAUUGGGUAUGAACCAAAUUUAAUUGGGAAAUUUACAUGGUAUACUAACUUUUGUUAUUUUUUUACAAAAAUACUGUCAGGCGGAAUUUUACUUUUUUACUGUGUUUUUUUUAUAAGUUUCAUACUGCAGUAUACUGUGUUAAGUUUUCACUGAUGUUUUACUAGUGUUCUACUGUUGUUUUGAGUUAUUCUGCUCUGUGUUUUACUUGUGUUUUAUAAAAACACAGUAUUUUUGAAAAGAUUUCCGUGUGACAGUAUUUUUGUAAAAGUUAACCCAAAUUCCAGUAUUUUUGUAAGUUUCCCAUUUAAUUCACUAUUCAAGCCCAAAAAAUAUUAAUUAUAUAAAAAAAAAAGGUCCUGUUAAAAAUAAAAAAAAUGGUAAUUUUAAAAAUUAAAUUUUAUUUCAGCUCAUAAAUUAAACAUUCGGGCUUAACCCGACCCGAAACCCGGCGCAUCCGUACACCCGAAAACCGAGUUCGAUUGUGCAUUUCCAAGACUCAAAGCCCGAAAACCCGAACUCGAAACCCCGAAAACCGGACCCGUGUGCACCCCUAAUUAGUCCCAAUGAUCUUUUUCAUUUCAAACUUUGUCGAUGUCAUUCUUGAGUAGAGUUCUUGAAAUCUUUAAACUGUUCUUAAAUUCUUGAAGCACCUUCAACCAAAUUCUAAUACCACUUGUUAUGAUCCGAAUCACCUCAGAACAACACAAUAAGAACUCAUAAUUCCAAGAUCAAAAAUUACUUAAACCGAACAACAAAGCAUACCAAAUUGACAAACAAUGAGAAUCAAACUUGAAUUGAAAAGCACUAGAGACACAUCACACCAGAGGGAAGAUUAAAUUGUGUUUGCUUUAUUAAUUUUUAAUAUGAACUGAGCUACAAUUACAAAACUAAAACAGAGAGCAAAACUUAAGAACUAAUAAAAGAACAUAAUUACAUCGG